AACGAACGCUGGCGGCAGGCCUAACACAUGCAAGUCGAGCGAGCAUUUCGGUGCUAGCGGCGGACGGGUGAGUAACGCGUGGGAACGUGCCCUUUUCUGCGGAAUAGUCCUGGGAAACUGGGGGUAAUACCGCAUACGCCCUUUUGGGGAAAGAUUUAUCGGAGAAGGAUCGGCCCGCGUUGGAUUAGGUAGUUGGUGGGGUAAUGGCCCACCAAGCCGACGAUCCAUAGCUGGUUUGAGAGGAUGAUCAGCCACACUGGGACUGAGACACGGCCCAGACUCCCACGGGAGGCAGCAGUGGGGAAUCUUAGACAAUGGGGGCAACCCUGAUCUAGCCAUGCCGCGUGAGUGAUGAAGGCCUUAGGGUUGUAAAGCUCUUUCAGCUGGGAAGAUAAUGACGGUACCAGCAGAAGAAGCCCCGGCUAACUCCGUG
rnacentral:rRNA from 1 species